rnacentral:rRNA from 1 species
GAUGAACGCUGGCGGCGUGCCUAAUACAUGCAAGUCGAGCGAAGCGGGGACGGGUGAGUAACACGUGGAUAACCUCCCAUCAGAGGGGGAUAACACUUGGAAACAGGUGCUAAACCGCAUAUUGAUGGAUGGACCCGCGGUGCAUUAGCUAGUUGGUAAGGUAACGGCAUACAAAGGCAACGAGGCAUAGCCGACCUGAGAGGGGAAUCGGCCACACUGGAGCUGCGACACGGUCCAGACUCCUACGGGAGGCAGCAGUAGGGAAUCUUCCGCAAUGGGCGAAAGCCUGACGGAGAAACGCCGCGUGAGUGAUGAAGGUCUUCGGAUCGUAAAACUCUGUUAUUAGGGAAGCGGUACCUAAUCAGAAAGCCACGGCUAACUACGUGCCAGCAGCCGCGGUAAUUC